rnacentral:rRNA from 1 species
UACGAAGGGGGCUAGCGUUGCUCGGAAUCACUGGGCGUAAAGGGUGCGUAGGCGGGUUUUUAAGUCAGGGGUGAAAUCCUGGAGCUCAACUCCAGAACUGCCUUUGAUACUGAAGAUCUCGAGUCCGGGAGAGGUGAGUGGAACUGCGAGUGUAGAGGUGAAAUUCGUAGAUAUUCGCAAGAACACCAGUGGCGAAGGCGGCUCACUGGCCCGUUACUGACGCUGAGGCGCGAAAGCGUGGGGAGCAAACAGG